rnacentral:rRNA from 1 species
GAUGAACGCUGGCGGCGUGCCUAAUACAUGCAAGUCGAGCGAACAGACGAGGAGCUUGCUCCUCUGACGUUAGCGGCGGACGGGUGAGUAACACGUGGAUAACCUACCUAUAAGACUGGGAUAACUUCGGGAAACCGGAGCCAAUACCGGAUAAUCUAUUCAACCGCAUGGUUCAAUAGUGAAAGACGGUUUUGCAGUCACUUAUAGAUGGAUCCGCGCCGCAUUAGCUAGUGGGUAAGGUAACGGCUUACCAAGGCGACGAUGCGUAGCCGACCUGAGGGGGUGAUCGGCCACACUGGAACUGAGACACGGUCCAGACGCCUACGGGAGGCAGCCGUAGGGAAUCUUCCGCAAUGGGCGAAAGCCUGACGGAGCAACGCCGCGUGAGUGAUGAAGGUCUUCGGAUCGUAAAACUCUGUUAUUAGGGAAGAACAAAUGUGUAAGUAACUAUGCACGUCUUGACGGUACCUAAUCAGAAAGCCACGGCUAAGUACGUG